ACGUAGGGGGCAAGCGUUGUCCGGAUUUACUGGGUGUAAAGGGUGCUCAGGCGGGUUUGUAAGUCAGUGGUGAAAUCCCGGGGCUUAACUCCGGAACUGCCAUAGAAACUGCAAGCCUAGAGUACGGAAGAGGUUGAUGGAAUAUCUGGUGUAGCAGUGAAAUGCGUAGAUAUCAGAUAGAACACCAAUGGCGAAGGCAGUCAACUGGUCCGUUACUGACGCUAAAGCACGAAAGUGUGGGGAGCGAACAG
rnacentral:rRNA from 1 species